rnacentral:rRNA from 1 species
GCGGAGGAGCAUGUGGUUUAAUUCGAUGAUACGCGAGGAACCUUACCUGGGCUCGAACGUAAGAUGACUGUAGGUGAAAGCUUACAUCUCUUCGGAGCAUUUUACGAGGUGCUGCAUGGUUGUCGUCAGCUCGUGCCGUGAGGUGUCGGGUUAAGUCCCAUAACGAGCGCAACCCCUACCUUUAGUUGCCAUCAGGUUAAGCUGGGGACUCUAAAGGAACUGCCUACGCAAGUAGUGAGGAAGGCGGGGAUGACGUCAAAUCAGCACGGCCCUUACGUCCAGGGCUACACACGUGCUACAAUGGCCGAUACAGAGGGCAGCUACCUGGUGACAGGAUGCAAAUCUCCAAAGUCGGUCUCAGUUCGGAUCGGAGUCUGCAACCCGACUCCGUGAAGUUGGAUUCGCUAGUAAUCGCGCAUCAGCCAUGGCGCGGUGAAUACGUUCCCGGGCCUU